rnacentral:sRNA from 1 species
GAAGCGUCAACCCGGCACGACACCAGUCGGUUAGACCGGGACCGUCCCUCCGCAAGGCGGGACUACC